AUUCCCCGCUCCUUCUCCUUCGUAGAGAACUGGAUCAUCAGCAUACCAUUCUGAAACACAGACCAUGGGAAUAAGUUCCAAAUGAGAAAUACUGUGCAGCCACGGUGCCUUCUACUAGUUGUUAUCGUCAGACCAAACUGCAGAACAGAAUCAGAACGCGGCCAGGAGUUAGCCUGACACACAAGCCGGGCUUAACACAGAAGACCACGGCUCCAAAGAGCACCAAUGAGCUGCCUGAGUUGCCUGUGCCAAUAUUGACCAAUCACAAUUAGGCUCUUCCAACCAAUCACGAUUAGGCUCUUCAACCAAUCACGAUUAGGCUCUUCCAACCAAUUGGGAUGAAGUGCUUUUUUUUCGUUUUCCUAUUAGCAUAUCGGACCUGAGUGGGAACCUGAGAGGGUACUUUCCUUAUGUAAGUGGGAGAAAAAGCAACUGAAUCAAAAGCCCAAGUUCUUCCAAGAAGUCCCAGAAAGUGGUCUUUACUCCUUCCCAUCACUCCCCAACAUCACCUAAAUCCAGGAGAAACUGAGAUGCCCCAGAAGCUCACCUCUGCAAGUGCCAUCAUGAAUAAUGCCAACACCAAGAAUCUGACCACGAGUUCUGAUGGUAGAGGCUGAGACAGGUGUUGGAAGUUGACUUGAGGACAUGCCAGGAAGUAAGGAAGCAGAGGAAACCAUCUUGACGGAGACAAAGGAGACAGGGACCUCCCCUUUCAGCUUCCAGAGUGGACAGUGGCUGCUUGAACUUACAGACUGCUAAAGUCUCAUGCUGUGAGAGAGAGAGAAUUCCCUAAAAGGGAAGUUGGGAUACAGCAUUGUCGUGGGUAGCUGAGAAAUGCCAAAAUCCACCACGCACAUCAGAUAAGAAAAGAGGGCUUUACUACAGGCUAUUCUUUUUUGCAUGUAACAACCAUUUGUUGGUUUCCAAAGUUGAAUGCCCUCUGCUAGCUAACAGAGAAAAAAGUUGAACAAG